UUUGAUCUUCUCUGAUGUCUCCAGACUCUGUCAGGCUGCUGAAUGGUUCCAGUCUGUGUUCAGGCAGACUGGAGGUGAAGUCUAACCAGAGCUGGUCCUCAGUGUGUGAAGCUGACUUUGACCAGCAGGAUGCAGAGGUGGUCUGUAGGGAGCUUGGCUGUGGGCCUCCUUCGGUCCUCCAGGGGGCGCUCUAUGGAGAAGUGGAGGCUCCAGUGUGGAGCAAAGAGUUCCAGUGUGGAGGCCAUGAGUCUGCUCUCCUGGACUGUAGAAGCUCAGGCUCAGCUAGAAACAGCUGCUCACCUGGCAAAGCUGUUGGACUCACCUGCUCAGAGCCUUAUGAUAUCAGGUUGGAGGGAGGAGCCAGUCGCUGUGAUGGAAGACUGGAGAUAAAACAUCUGGGAGAGUGGAGACCUGUGGACGGCUCUGACUGGAUCCUGAAUGAAGCAGCUGUUUUCUGCAAACACUUAAACUGCAGCUCUGUGGUUUCUGUAGAAGUGAGAGAUAACUCCUUUUACAACCAGACGUGGUUUCUCAAUCAAGGCUGUGUUCGGUCUCGAUCUGAUUUAAGGGCGUGUGCAGCAUCGGGAUUCACUUACAGCAUCCUGCUUCUUACCUGCUCAGCCAAGCAGCACACAGCAGGACCCUGAGCUGACUGUGACCUCCAUGUUUGUGCUGCUGAAGAUGACGAAACUCGGGAAGCAAAGGAAAACCUCUAAAGAGCUCAUCUCAUGUCUCAAUGAAUUUCUUAGCUGACAAAAACCCCAUAAUCUUUAUGUCUGAUGUAAUUAGCAUUUUUGGACAUUAAUUAUUCACAUGAUUCUACAGUUUUCCUGUUAUGUAAUAAGAUGCUUUUGCUGUCUAAGAAAAUAAACUCUGUUGUGUGUGUGUGUGUAUCUGUGUGUGUGUUGUGUGUUUGAACAAAACUACUUUAGUUUGAUUUGUUUAUUUUAAAGAAAACAAAGUGCAGGUUGAUAUUUGCUGUUGGAAAACAAACAGUAUGUAACUUUCUACCUGUGCAAGGUUAUAGGACCAUAAAUGUAGGGGUCAGUGGGACUGUGAGAGGACUUACGAGAAGCCUGUUGAUCAGGAACCAGGAAAGGCAAACAAAGUAAAAAUGACAGAAUCAGACUGUGGAGGCAAACCUUGCCUCGUCCUUGCCUCGUAUCUCCUGAGCUGAGCAUCAUGGAUCCCCGUCUGCUGCUGCUGCUGUGGAGCUCAGGAGUCCAAGCUUGCAAUGAGCUCAUAUCAAAAGAGUCUGUCAGGUUGGUGGGAGGCGCCAGUCGCUGUGCAGGAACACUGGAGCUAAAACAUCUGGGAGAGUGGAGGCCAGCGGUGUUGUUUGUGUGGACUCCGAAGGCAGUCACUGUAAUUUGUGAACAUCUGGCCUGUGGCUCUGCUGUUUCUGUAGGAAGGAGAGAGAAGGCUCCACACAGGUCAAUGUGGUGGAUCAAUGGUGCCUGUGUGGAGAAAGCAUCUGCUCUGUGGAGUGUCUGUGUGUUUCCUGAACCCUUUCCCUUUGCCUCAGAGUUAACCUGCUCAGGUAAACCCAUUUGUAGCAUCAAUGAUGAUGUAAUAUAACAAAAUAAUAUGUGACAACAACAUGACAGGCUGAUGCAUUCACCACCUAGAAGAGCAGCAGUCAUGAAAGAGUUUCAGGGGUCUCUGAAACCAAAGGGCUGCUGAGCUCCACAGCUCAUUAAGAACUUACAUAUUAUUGUAUACGUAUUAUUGUAUUGUAUGAUAGAAAACACCCCAAAGGCAGCUGUUUUUGUAAUUUGCUGCAAUACAAGUUAAACUUAAUUUAACUUAAUUUAACUUUCUUGGCUUCUAGUUUCAGUUGAUGAAAUUGAAACUAGAAGCCAAGAAAGUUCAGAGACUCCAUGCUGAACAGCUCCUCAACAGUACGCAGUUCUUGUUUUUUUUAAUUUGGGUUACAGAUCUUCUCAGAAAAGUCAGAAAGGAUGAAAUGUGUUGUUUGGGUGGAGAAGAUGAUCAGCAGGAACAGAAGAGAGAACUCUGCAGAUGAUGAUGAUGAUGCUGUACUGAUGUUAGAAAAUAAUCAGGGGCCUCAUUCUCAAACCUAAGUGGAACAAAUUCACACAAAUUAUUGUUUCACCAAUAUUUUCUUACAUAAACCAUCUGCAAUCUUUAAACUGAAUGGUGCUAUACUACUACUACUAAUAAUAAUAAUAAGGGGAGAAACCUGGGAGGCUACUAGCUUGGUGUCUUAAACAAUCGCAAACAGAAAGGGCAAUUCAUUCAAUUAGGAAUAUUCAAGGUGAAUUAGUAGUACAGCCACAGGAAAUGAAUGUAAAUACUUUACAGGCUACCUUUCUAAAUGAUCUUGAGUUUCCUUCUAUUCCAGAUGACCUUUGGCCUACUCUUGACACUAAUUUAACAAUUAAAGAAAUUCAGGAGGCAGUUGACAUUCUGAAAUUGGGAAAAGCUGCUGGGCGUGAUGAGCUGCCUAUGGAUUUUUAUAAAAAAUUUCAAUAUAAACUCUUAAAACCGUUGCUAGAUAUGUAUUCUGAGUCCUUUGAAAAUGGUUUGCUUCUGCCCUCUCUAAGAGCUGCAUUGUUUACAGUAAUCCCUAAACCUGAAAAAUCCAGAGAUUGUUGUCAGUCCUGUCGGCCACUUUCUUUAUUGAAUGUGGACAUGAAAAUUCUUAGCAAGAUAUUGGCCCUGUGAUUAGAGAAAUGUCUCCCACUAGUGAUUAAUACAGAUCAGAAUGGUUUUGUUAAAGGAGAACAAGGGUCUCACAAUGUGAGGAGAUUAAUAAAUGUCCUCUAUGAAAACCGAGAUGCUUGUGAUACUGCAGUUCUGUCGCUAGAUAC